rnacentral:rRNA from 1 species
UACGUAGGGUGCGAGCGUUGUCCGGAAUCACUGGGCGUAAAGGGCGCGUAGGCGGCACUGUUAGUCAGGCGUGAAAGUCCUGGGCUCAACCUGGGAACUGCGCUUGAUACGGCAGAGCUAGAGGAUGGAAGAGGGUCGCGGAAUUCCCAGUGUAGAGGUGAAAUUCGAUAGAUAUUGGGAAGAACACCGGUGGCGAAGGCGGCGACCUGGUCCAUUACUGACGCUGAGGCGCGACAGCGU